rnacentral:rRNA from 1 species
UACGUAGGUGGCGAGCGUUGUCCGGAUUUACUGGGCGUAAAGGGAGCGUAGGCGGACUUUUAAGUGAGAUGUGAAAUACCCGGGCUCAACUUGGGUGCUGCAUUUCAAACUGGAAGUCUAGAGUGCAGGAGAGGAGAAUGGAAUUCCUAGUGUAGCGGUGAAAUGCGUAGAGAUUAGGAAGAACACCAGUGGCGAAGGCGAUUCUCUGGACUGUAACUGACGCUGAGGCUCGAAAGCGUGGGAAGCAAACAGGAUUAGAUACCCU